rnacentral:lncRNA from 1 species
GAGCUCCUGUCUCUCCUGGCAGGCUGCUUCUGUUCGCACCUUUUCUAUACUUCCUGGAGGUCACAUCUUUGCAUGGAUUUCUCCUAGUGCAUACUGGACAUCUUCCUAUUGUCUUAUUGCUAGUUCCCUGGAUGCUCCCCUUCGAUAUGGUCGUAAUCGUGCCAAGCCUGGGGUUUCUUCCACAGAACAUUGAAACCAGAGAUUUGGAUUUGAAUUGGAAUUGGAAUCCAUUCUUGGUCUUGGUGUGGGGUUGCGGGGCAUAGAUCCAAGAGAAACUGGGGAGUUGGUAACUAUGGCAGUUCAACACAGAAUGCAUUGAGGAGGAUAGCUAUAAAAUAAUGGAGCACUCGACAGAGGUGGAAGGGUGCAUCUCUUGGGCACCAGGCCCACCUUCUAUCCCAAGCAGAGCCAUCCUACUGACCACAUCAUCUAUUCCCUAGAACGUGGACAUGGCUUUGGGCUUCUUUGCUGCAGUUACUCUAGGGAGCCAGCACAUCUCCAUGAGUUGAUCCUUGUGAUCUAAUGGGCUAACUCAAAGAGCAGCUAGAUCCAGGCAGUAAGCAAUCAUCACAAAGCAGUCUGGGAAAGCAGUAACAGAAACCAAGCCACCAGCGGAGCAGGGGCCUAGCUACUCGCUGGGCUGUGACACUCAUGUCUGGAGUGUGACAAGCAGAAACAAGAUGUGGAGAUGAAACACUCAGUUGUUGAUGUCAUGGAUUGUGACUGGGUGAUCAAGACAGAACCAGGCUAUCAGUGAACACUGGCGUUCAAAAAGGGCAAGACAUCAUCAGGCUUGGGUGAGCUGCAGGGAUGGCUUCCUGCAUUUCCCUGGAGUCGUGGAGCCAGCGCCAGGGAGGGAGGAGAAGGAAGGCAUUUGUCACUGUGCACCUGUUGUGAGCCAAGGGCUGACUGCAUCCCUUUUGUGCCCAGAAGAGUGCAGCUGUGGACUGAGCCCUAUGAAGGCAUGAAUCAAAAUAAAUCCUUCCUGCUGUAAAUGUUUUCUCAGGUAGUCUGUCAGAUCUACAGAAAGCUACCACAGAAAGGCUGCAUCUGUCCAUCUCUUA